AGCAACAGCAGCAGCGACACAGGUUCCCGUACGGAGAAUUCGCGCAGGCGGUGCCGUCCGCACCGAGGAACGACUGUGCUGCCAUCGACCGGCGAACGUGUUCCAGCGAUGCCGAUUGCACUUGCUACGACAUGUACGCAUGCGCAGAGGGCAGAUGUAAACCUCUGGGUUUCUACGCAUCCAAGAGCGCGACAGGUGGAAGCAGAUUCUAAAGCGUGUCGACAGCGCCUACACUGGCUAGUGUACG